rnacentral:rRNA from 1 species
CCUACGGGAGGCAGCAGUGAGGAAUAUUGGUCAAUGGACGAGAGUCUGAACCAGCCAAGUAGCGUGAAGGAUGACUGCCCUAUGGGUUGUAAACUUCUUUUAUAUGGGAAUAAAAUGUUCCACGUGUGGGAUUUUGUAUGUACCAUAUGAAUAAGGAUCGGCUAACUCCGUGCCAGCAGCCGCGGUAAUACGGAGGAUCCGAUCGUUAUCCGGAUUUAUUGGGUUUAAAGGGAGCGUAGGUGGAAUAGUAAGUCAGUUGUGAAAGUUUGCGGCUCAACCGUAAAAUUGCAGUUGAAACUGGCAGUCUUGAGUACAGUAGAGGUGAGCGGAAUUCGGGGUGUAGCGGUGAAAUGCUUAGAUAUCACGAAGAACUCCGAUUGCGAAGGCAGUUCACUGGACUGCAACUGACACUGAGGCUCGAAAGUGUGGGUAUCAAACAGGAUUAGAUACCCGUGUAGUC